AUCAGUGCCAAUAACCCAAGCCAUAUUUCUUUGUGUUUUGCAAGAAAGCCGGAAAGAAAUGGGAAGCAAGGGUCUUCAGAGUGUAAUCAUGUGUGUGCUGAUACUAGGAAUAAUCUUGGAAGUAGAGGGAAAGAGUUGUUGCAAGACCACCCUGGCAAGAAUCUGCUACAACGUAUGUCGUCGGAGGUUUCCCCCGCCAGUUUGUGCACUAGGAUGUCGCUGUAAAAUCGUAAAAGGCAACAAAUGCCCGCCUGGCUAUCCUAAAUUGAACCUUCUUCCGAACUCCGCAGGUGAACCAGCUGAUGCCAUUUCGUCGUACUGCAACUUGGGAUGUGUGUCUUCUAUGUGCGACAACAUCAGCAAUGCUCCAGAAUUUGUCGGCGAAGAGACGAACAUCGACAUGGAACGUUGCAGUGAUGCAUGUGACCGUAUUUGCAAUGGGGAUGCCAGCAUCGCGUCCGUUGCUGCAUAAUCAUGCAUGUGCAUGACAUCGGAUAGUACGUGUUCCACAAAAAGGAUCUCAUGGGUCAGAUCCAAGCCAGUGUUUCAUCUUAUAUAUGUAUACGUGUGCUCUUUUUUUUCUUUGUUACAAUAAAGGUAACCACACGAGGGAUGCCAUGUUCCUACCUGUAUGUGCCCAUCUCUAUCGAGAUGUAUCCGUGUACCCUUGGCCAGUUAAUAUAAUCACUACAAAUUAUAUAGUUUUGUGUUA